CUGACAGGGAAGAAUCAGAGAAACCUUCACCAGCAGCCCGACAUUCACCUGGACGGACAGUGCACUUUUCUUACGUCUGGGCAGGGAAGGCAGGGCGCACCAUCUACCGCAGGCUAGGAUGAUCACCAACCGCCCCACCGCACCCUGCGCCAGCCCUACGGCGCCCGCGGGCUGCAAGUAGCGGCGACCCAGGAGCAUGCGCGCUGCCGCCCCUGGCCUGCCAGGACCCAGAGGGAGCGGAGCACGCGCCUUUGGGAAUCUUCGGUGCGCCAAGUCUGUUCGCCGCCGGGGUCUAUCACCCCCGCCCCUCGCCUCUGCCCGUGAGCGUGUGAGUUGUAGCGUACCCUGGGGUCUGUUCUGGAGGAGGCCUGAGAGCGGGGUUGCCUGGGGCGUGGGUCUCUCAUCCCUCUCGUCCUGGUGAAGAAGAAGAGUAUACCCAGCGGCAGCUGGCUUGGCUUUUUCAGAGGAAACAGAGACUCUCAGACAUGAAUACUGUGACACUGACCACCAGGCCAACUUAACAUCAGCAGAUAUCCUGUCUCAGAUGAAGAGACAGUUAAUCAGAGACUUACUCCAACCCAGAAGUUUAUACCAAAAGACUUGAUUAGCGCAAUAAAAGCACUAAAUGAGGAGCUCGGAUUAAUUAUUGAUUUAACAUACACCACAAGAUAUUAUGAAGUUAAGGUAAAGUUGCAAAUGUAUAUUGUUAUCAUGGGUAGGUCUUAAAAUAGAAAGUUUGUUUUUUGUUUUGUUGUUAUUUUGUUUUUUUAAGACAGAGUCCUGCUCUGUCACUCGGGUUGGAG
rnacentral:lncRNA from 1 species